GAGUUGAUCGUGGCUCAGAUUGAACGCUGGCGGCACGCCUUACACAUGCAAGUCGAACGGCAGCACGGGAGCUUGCUCCUGGUGGCGAGUGGCGAACGGGUGAGUAAUGCAUCGGAACGUAUCCUGGAGUGGGGGAUAACGUAGCGAAAGUUACGCUAAUACCGCAUAUUCUGUGAGCAGGAAAGCGGGGGACCUUCGGGCCUCGCGCUCUUGGAGCGGCCGAUGUCGGAUUAGCUAGUUGGUGAGGUAAAGGCUCACCAAGGCGACGAUCCGUAGCAGGUCUGAGAGGAUGAUCUGCCACACUGGAACUGAGACACGGUCCAGACUCCUACGGGAGGCAGCAGUGGGGAAUUUUGGACAAUGGGGGCAACCCUGAUCCAGCCAUGCCGCGUGAGUGAAGAAGGCCUCGGUUGUAAG
rnacentral:rRNA from 1 species